UAAGGAAUAUUGGACAAUGCCCGCAAGGGUGAUCCAGCCAUGCCGCGUGCAGGAAGAAGGCCCUAUGGGUCGUAAACUGCUUUUACACCGGAGAAAACCCCCCUUCGUGAAGGGGGCUGAUAGUAUGGUGAGAAUAAGCAUCGGCUAACUUCGUGCCAGCAGCCGCGGUAAGACGAAGGAUGCAAGCGUUAUCCGGAUUCAUUGGGUUUAAAGGGAGCGUAGGUGGACUGAUAAGUCAGUGGUGAAAUCUUCGGGCUUAACCCGAAAAUUGCCAUUGAUACUGUUGGUCUUGAGUACAGUUGCUGUGGGCGGAAUAUGACAUGUAGUGGUGAAAUACAUAGAGAUGUCAUAGAACACCGAUUGCGAAGGCAGCUCACAAAGCUGUAACUGACACUGAGGCUCGAAAGUGCGGGGAUCAAACAGGAUUAGAUACCCCCGUAGUCC
rnacentral:rRNA from 1 species